rnacentral:rRNA from 1 species
UCCGUAGGGUGCAAUCGUUGUCCGGAUUCACUGGGUGUAAAGGGUGCGCAGGCGGGUUCUUAAGUCAAAGGUGAAAUCUCUCGGCUUAACCGAGAAAUUGCCUUUGAUACUGAGAGCCUUGAGUACGGGAGAGGGAGAUGGAAUUCCAGGUGUAGCGGUGAAAUGCGUAGAUAUCUGGAGGAACACCGGAGGCGAAGGCGGUCUCCUGGCCCGUUACUGACGCUCAGGCACGAAAGCGUGGGGAGCAAACAGG